rnacentral:lncRNA from 1 species
ACUCAGGAGCCCGGGGACAAGGCGGACUCGUGUCCGAGAACCACCUCCCACUGCCGAUCGGGGCCAGGAGCUCGUAAGGGCGAGUUUCAGGGGUGCCAGGCGGAAAGGGGGGCUGCGGGCCCGCCAGCACGGUGGGCUCCGUCGGCUCCGAGAGUCAGCUUGACAUUGGCCACGUGGCGUCUAUCGGCAUCGCCUUGGUGGUUUAGGUACGGCUGCUCCUCAGUUCCAGAGUCGGUUUGGUCCCGUGUCUUUGAGGUCCGCUCUCGGAAUCGCGGCCGCCGAUGUCCCGGCUGCGGUCAGGCCAUCACGUAGUUAACUUCUUCCCCCUGGCGGGGCUUCAGUCUCCGCAGCAGCCCACAGGACACGGCUGGGAAUGUCGUCCACAGCCCUGGAGUCCUUGACUUGAAUGGCCAAACUAUUACUUUGUCGUGUUUGACGACUUUUCUUUGCCUCUGCGUCUUCUUACUCCUCUGAUAAAAGUUACGCUUUGACUAAUGUUUUUCUACAGACAAGAAGCAAGACAUGGGGGCCAGUGGGGGCGUCUGUCCUUGGAAGCUCCCAGGGUCCUGAUCAGUUACAGGGUAUUGGAGGUGGGCCUUUGGGAGAUACUUAGGGUUAGAUGAGGGUGGAGCCCCCACGGGACGCUCGUCUUUACGGGAAGAGGAGGCUACCCAGAGCCCUCUCUGCCCCAUGAGGGCGCAGCGAUGCCUGCAAGCCAGGGAGGGGGUCCUCCCAACCGAGCUGACACCCUGGUCUCAGACCUCCAGCCUCCGGACUGCGGGACGAUCGGCUCCUGCUGCUUGGGCCAGUCCCUGGUAGUUUGUGACAGCCGCCCCAGCCGACUCACACAAGCCCCGACUGCCAGGUUUAAGUCCCAGCUCUCCAGAGCCCAAGCUGGGGGCCUGGGCCUGCUCCUGGCCCCUUAGGUGGAGGCGGUGGAGGGUGUUGUAGGUGCCCAGGCGCUGAGGGGUCCCCAGAGACCCUCCAAAGCACCAGCGAUGGGGCUGGGGGUACAGAGCUGGGCAGGUCUCUGCCUCUGCACCGGCUCCACCAGGUUGCCCAUGGCUCCUGCCCCCCCAGAUCCCGUGCAGAAGCCCAAGUUUGGCAGAAAUCCUGCCUCUCAACCUGGGUGGGAUCUGGGGGUGGCAUCCCCUUCCCAACCGGCCGGGAAUGCGUUCCAUGUGCCUGCGCUGCCGGUUCACCUGUGAUCACCUGUGAUCAUCUGUGCCAGUCUGGCCUGAGGGUGAGGCCCCUUUCCCUGCCCUCACCUCUCUCAUCUGCCUGCCUUCUUCCAUCCCCUCCUAUUCUGAGCCUUCUCUUUCCCUCUGGCUCUGUCUUUUCCUUUUCAAAACCCAACAUCUGGGAGUUCCCGUCUCGGAUUCGUUAACCACUGAGCCAUGACAGGAACUCCAGUCAUCUAUUUUAUAUGCAGUAGUGCAUCUCUGCUAAUCCCCAACUCCUCAUUUAUCCCUCCUCCUCUUUUGCUGCUUCGGUAAUUAUAAAUUUGUUUUCUAUGUCUGUGAGUCUAUUUCUGUUUCGUAAAUAAGUUCAUUUGUAUCAUUUUUUUUUAGAUUCCACAUAUAAGUGAUAAUCAUAUAUUUGUCUUUGUCUUUCUGACUUAAUUCACUUAGUGAUCAUCUCUGGGUCCAUCCAUGUGGCUGCAAAUAGCUUAUUUCAUUCUUUUUCAUGGCUGAAUAAUAUUCCAUUGUGUAUAUACACCAGAGCUUCUUCAUUCAUCUGUCAAUGGACAUUUAGGUUGUUGCCAUGUCUUGCAUGUUGUGCUGCAGUGAACCUAGGGAUGCAUGUAUCUUUUUGGCUGAAAGUUUUGUCUGGAUAUAUGCCCAGGAGUGGGACUGUUGGAUCAUAUGGCAGCUCCAUUUUUAGGUUUUUAAGGCACCUGCAGACUGUUCUCCAUAGUGGUUGUACCAGUUUACGUUCCCACCAACAGUGCAGGAGGGUUCCCU